GGUUCGUUGGUGUAGUUGGUUAUCACGUCUGUCUCACAUGCCUGCGAGGGCGGUGGUCACAGGAGGUCCCCGGGUCGAACCA